rnacentral:rRNA from 1 species
GGGGAAUAUUGCACAAUGGGGGAAACCCUGAUGCAGCAACGCCGCGUGAGUGAAGAAGUAUUUCGGUAUGUAAAGCUCUAUCAGCAGGGAAGAAAAUGACGGUACCUGACUAAGAAGCCCCGGCUAACUACGUGCCAGCAGCCGCGGUAAUACGUAGGGGGCAAGCGUUAUCCGGAUUUACUGGGUGUAAAGGGAGCGCAGGCGGUACGGCAAGUCAGAUGUGAAAACCCGGGGCUCAACCCCGGGACUGCAUUUGAAACUGUCGGACUAGAGUGCCGGAGAGGUAAGUGGAAUUCCUAGUGUAGCGGUGAAAUGCGUAGAUAUUAGGAGGAACACCAGUGGCGAAGGCGGCUUACUGGACGGUAACUGACGCUGAGGCGCGAAAGCUGGGGGAGCGAACAGGAUUAGAUACCCUGGUAGUCCCAGCCGUAAACGAUGGACGCUAGGUGUGGGGGGACGAUCCCCCCGUGCCGCAGCCAACGCAUUAAGCGUCCCGCCUGGGGAGUACGGCCGCAAGGCUAAAACUCAAAGGAAUUGACGGGGGCCCGCACAAGCAGCGGAGCAUGUGGCUUAAUUCGAAGCAACGCGAAGAACCUUACCAAGUCUUGACAUCCUUCUGACCGUUCCUUAGCCGGAACUUCUCUUCGGAGCAGAAGUGACAGGUGGUGCAUGGUUGUCGUCAGCUCGUGUCGUGAGAUGUUGGGUUAAGUCCCGCAACGAGCGCAACCCUUAUCCUUAGUAGCCAGCGGUUCGGCCGGGCACUCUGGGGAGACUGCCGGAGAUAAUCCGGAGGAAGGUGGGGAUGACGUCAAAUCAUCAUGCCCCUUAUGACUUGGGCUACACACGUGCUACAAUGGCGGUAACAAAGGGAAGCAGCCUCGCGAGAGUGAGCAAACCCCAAAAAUGCCGUCUCAGUUCGGAUUGUAGUCUGCAACUCGACUACAUGAAGCUGGAAUCGCUAGUAAUCGCAGAUCAGAAUGCUGCGGUGAAUACGUUCCCG